rnacentral:rRNA from 1 species
AUUGAACGCUGGCGGCAUGCCUUACACAUGCAAGUCGAACGGCAGCACGGGAGCAAUCCUGGUGGCGAGUGGCGAACGGGUGAGUAAAGUAUCGGAACGUGCCCAGUCGUGGGGGAUAACGUAGCGAAAGUUACGCUAAUACCGCAUACGAUCUAUGGAUGAAAGCGGGGGAUCGCAAGACCUCGCACGAUUGGAGCGGCCGAUAUCAGAUUAGGUAGUUGGUGGGGUAAAGGCUCACCAAGCCGACGAUCUGUAGCUGGUCUGAGAGGACGACCAGCCACACUGGGACUGAGACACGGCCCAGACUCCUACGGGAGGCAGCAGUGGGGAAUUUUGGACAAUGGGCGAAAGCCUGAUCCAGCCAUGCCGCGUGCAGGAUGAAGGCCUUCGGGUUGUAAACUGCUUUUGUACGGAACGAAAAGGUUUGGCCUAAUAAGCUGAACUCAUGACGGUACCGUAAGAAUAAGCACCGGCUAACUACGUGCCAGCCGCCGCAGUAA